AUCACAUAUCAAGAGAGACUUCGGCGCACAGGGAACGUGCGUCCGUCGACUCGUUUUGACCGCGUCGGCAUCAUGGACAGUACGUUGAGCGCUAAAGCCACGCGCCAGCGGCCUCACGAGAGGGAGACGGUGGCAAACCGUUGUGCCAAUUCUUCGAAAAGACGGAAACGAGGCAAUACUACUGCAGCGUGACGAGUGCGCGCCUCUAGCAAGACCGCCGCAGGAUGGAGUCGGAUACCUGCAGGGAAAGAGCGGUCCAAGCACGAGGCGCGAACGUCUGUUGCCAUGUAGCGCGCACGUUUGCGAGAGAGUCGGAAGCGCACGCUUGCGUGCACGGAAAACGUGGGAAUGAAACGCCGGCCGAUUCCCGCGCCGUGCGCAAAGCCAGCGCGAUCGCAAUUUGCGCUGUUUGCCUUCGAAGUACGUCGAGCUCCAGAGCUGGUCGCUCGUUCACGUCACCGCAGCUGUGUGGGCGCCCUUCCGGGCUUCGUCGCAGGAAUGGGAAUCGGCAGAUUCUUGCGAGGAGCGGGGAGGAGAAGGGUGGCCCCCGAAAGCGGUUCGACGCGACAGCGCCGUCUGCGAGCGAGAAGAGUCACGGCACGGCGGAGAAUUGCCGCGAAACGGAAAAUGUCUCCUUCGAGAGCGUGGGUGCCCCGUUGGCGGAGCUGAAGCGUUCCGUCGUAGUCCGCCGUCGGUCCAAGUGCUUCGCAGUCUCUGUCCCCUAAAGACUGGGCCACUCCAGUUGGGGCAGGGGCGACGCUACACGAGACGAUGCCUCCCGCCAGGUUUUAGUCGCCCCUGCGGUGCCCGCUGAAGCGGCGCGCUGCUAAGGCGAUCUUUGCCUCGGUGGUGUUUGGGCUUCAGACACGGUCGCUUACCACGCAACUGCUCGUGCGCCGCACGCGCGCAGGCGGUUCACCGCCUGCCAGCCUCGUCUAUAAGUAGCUCCGUGUUGGGCGAAGGACGUGGUAGGGCGUCGCACUCGGUUGGCGCUGGGUUUUCGAACGUGUCGAGUCCUUUUCGGCAUACCGAUCGUAUGACGCACGCGCGCAGGCGUUGUGCCGCCUGCCAGCCUCGUCCGUAAGGACGUGGCAGGGCGUCGUACUCGGUCGUGCUGGAAUGGGCGAAAGCGAUGUAUCCGUUG
rnacentral:rRNA from 1 species